GACAGCAGCCGCCGCGGUAACACGGAGGGGGCUAGCGUUGUUCGGAAUUACUGGGCGUAAAGCGUACGUAGGCGGCUUUGUAAGUUAGAGGUGAAAGCCUGGUGCUCAACACCAGAACUGCCUUUAAGACUGCAUCGCUUGAACGUCGGAGAGGUGAGUGGAAUUCCGAGUGUAGAGGUGAAAUUCGUAGAUAUUCGGAAGAACACCAGUGGCGAAGGCGGCUCACUGGACGACUGUUGACGCUGAGGUACGAAAGCGUGGGGAGCAAACAGGAUUAGAUACCCCCGUAGUCCCUGUCUCUUAUAC
rnacentral:rRNA from 1 species